rnacentral:rRNA from 1 species
CGUAACAAGGUUUCCGUAGGUUAAGUUCAGCCUACCAGAGCAGCCUGUGAAAGAAAAUGCUAGUUGGCCUUGCUGCCAGCGACACGCCCACCUUGCGGAAAAGCCCUGUAUCAGGGAAACCCGCAGCCCGCCUCCCUUACCCGGAGGCUGGUUCAGAGACUCAAUAGGCGUGGGUCUGGCCUCAGCGCCAGGCUUGAGAUAGAGCCCGUCCCCGCUGGCCACGGCGGGGAGCAAACGGAACCUGCGGAAGGAUCAUUA